AUUGAACGCUGGCGGCAGGCCUAACACAUGCAAGUCGAGCGAGCGGCGGACGGGUGAGGAAUGAAUGGGGACAUGCCCGAUAGAGGGGGAUAACUACUGGAAAAGGUGGCGAAUACCCAAUACUAACGGUAGAAGCCAUAUGGGAUUAGCUAGUAGGUGGGGUAAAGGCUCAACUAGGCGACUAUCUCUAGCUGGUCUGAGAGGAUGAUCAGCCACACUGGGACUGAGACACGGCCCAGACUCCUACGGGAGGCAGCAGUUGGGAAUAUUGCACAAUGGGCGCAAGCCUGAUGCAGCCAUGCCGCGUGUAUGAAGAAGGCCUUAGGGUUGUAAAGUACUUUCAGCGGGGAGGCGUUACCCGCAGAAGAAGCACCGGCUAACUCCGUGCCAGCAGCCGCGGUAAUUC
rnacentral:rRNA from 1 species